GCCAGGCACACAAUGACAAGGACUCCACUGACCAGGACCUUACUGACAAGGCCUCACUGACAAGGCCUCACGGACCAAGUCCUUACUGACAAGUCCUCACUGACUAGGUCAUUAUUGACAAGGCCUCACUGAUCAGGUUCCACCGAUCAUGACCCCAUUACCUGGUCCCACAGAUGAAGCCCUACUGACCAGGCCUGCAGGGAAUAUGCUGCCAGUGACAAGGCCCCUGCUAACCAGGCCUGAGGUGACCAGAUGCCCCUGACCAGGACCCUAAUGAGUAUGCCCCACUGAACAGGCAUGCACUGCUCCCCGCUGACCAGGUCACCCCGUAGACCAGUGCUACAAAAGCCACCACUGAUCAAGUCCUCUCUGACCAGGCCCCCACUGAUUAGGUUUCCACGGACCAGCCUGCCCUGACCAGGGCCCCACUGACAAGAGCCUCUGCUGACUAGGUCCCAUGUGACCAGGCCUCCACUGAAUAGCACCCCUUGACCUGGUCACCAGUAACCCAGCCCAAUCUG
rnacentral:lncRNA from 1 species